rnacentral:rRNA from 1 species
UCCAGACUCCUGCGGGAGGCAGCAGUGGGGGAUAUUGCACAAUGGGGGGAACCCUGAUGCAGCGACGCCGCGUGGGUGAAGAAGCGCCUCGGCGCGUAAAGCCCUGUCAGCAGGGAAGAAAAUGACGGUACCUGAAGAAGAAGCCCCGGCUAACUACGUGCCAGCAGCCGCGGUAAUACGUAGGGGGCAAGCGUUAUCCGGAUUUACUGGGUGUAAAGGGGGCGCAGACGGCGAUGCAAGCCAGGAGUGAAAGCCCGGGGCCCAACCCCGGGACUGCUCUGGAAACUGUAUAGCUGGAGUGCAGGAGAGGUAAGUGGAAUUCCUAGUGUAGCGGUGAAAUGCGUAGAUAUUAGGAGGGACACCAGUGGCGAAGGCGGCUUACUGGACUGUAACUGACGUUGAGGCUCGAGAGCGUGGGGAGCAAACAGGAUUAGAUACCCCGGUA